rnacentral:rRNA from 1 species
CGUGUAGGCGGUCCGGUAAGUCCGUUGUGAAAGUCAAGGGCUCAACCCUUGAAUGCCGGCGGAUACUGUCGGGCUAGAGUCCGGAAGAGGCAAGUGGAAUUCCCGGUGUAGCGGUGAAAUGCGUAGAGAUCGGGAGGAACACCAGAGGCGAAGGCGGCGACCUGGACAGGCACUGACACUCAACUACGAAAGCGUGGGGAGCAAACA